rnacentral:rRNA from 1 species
UUUUUUAUGGAGAGUUUGAUCUUGGCUCAGAACGAACGCUGGUGGCGUGCUUUAUACAUGCAAGUCGAGCGGAGAUUAGCUCUUUUUCAGAUAACCUUCGGGUUAUCUUGAAUUUGAGUCAAUCUUAGCGGCGAACGGGUGAGUAACGCGUGGGUAAUCUACCCUUGAGACCGAGAUAACAUCUCGAAAGGGAUGCUAAUAGCGGAUAAUGUUAGCAAGCUAAUGCUUGCUAACCAAAGUUGAUUUUUAAUCUUCGCUCAGGGACGAGCCCGCGUCCUAUUAGCU